GACGAACCGUCCAAACGUUAUUCGGAAUUACUGGGCGUAAAGGGCGCGUAGGCGGUUCGUUAAGUCCUGUGUGAAAUCCCCCGGCUCAACUGGGGAACUGCACAGGAAACUAGCGGGCUUGAGUUCGGGAGAGGGAAGCGGAAUUCCGGGUGUAGCGGUGAAAUGCGUAGAUAUCCGGAGGAACACCGGUGGCGAAGGCGGCUUACCUGGACCGACACUGACGCUGAGGCGCGAAAGCUAGGGGAGCAAACGGG
rnacentral:rRNA from 1 species